ensembl:snRNA U2 U2 spliceosomal RNA
AUCGCUUCUCAGCCUUUUGGCUAAGAUCAAGUGUAGUAUCUGUUCUUAUCAGUUUAAUAUCUGAUACCUCCUCUAUCCGAGGACAAUAUAUUAAUGAAUCAGUU